AUUAUCUUGGCAGAUAAGUGUAAUAAAUUUAGAAUUUAUAAAUAUGUAAUUACAUAGAUAAUU
rnacentral:tRNA from 1 species